rnacentral:rRNA from 1 species
AACGAACGCUGGCGGCAUGCCUAACACAUGCAAGUCGAACGAAACCUUCGGGUCUAGUGGCGCACGGGUGCGUAACGCGUGGGAACCUGCCCUUAGGUUCGGAAUAACUCCCCGAAAGGGGUGCUAAUACCGGAUAAUGUCUUCGGACCAAAGAUUUAUCGCCUUUGGAUGGGCCCGCGUUGGAUUCGCUAGUUGGUAGGGUAAAAGCCUACCAAGGCGACGAUCCAUAGCUGGUCUGAGAGGAUGAUCAGCCACACUGGGACUGAGACACGGCCCAGACUCCUACGGGAGGCAGCAGUGGGGAAUAUUGGACAAUGGGCGAAAGCCUGAUCCAGCAAUGCCGCGUGAGUGAUGAAGGCCUUAGGGUUGUAAAGCGCUUUUACCCGGGAUGAUAAUGACAGUACCGGGAGAAUAAGCUCCGGCUAACUCCGUG